AGAGUUUGAUCCUGGCUCAGAUUGAACGCUAGCGGCAUGCUUAACACAUGCAAGUCGAACGGUAGCAGGUCUGGGUAACCAGAUGCUGACGAGUGGCGGACGGGUGAGUAACGCGUAGGAAUCUACCUUAUAGUGGGGAAUAACCUGGGGAAACCCAGGCUAAUACCGCAUAAUCCCUAAGGGGGAAAGUCUGGGACUGU
rnacentral:rRNA from 1 species